rnacentral:rRNA from 1 species
UGGGGAAUAUUGCACAAUGGGCGCAAGCCUGAUGCAGCAACGCCGCGUGAACGAUGAAGGUCUUCGGAUCGUAAAGUUCUGUUGCAGGGGAAGAUAAUGACGGUACCCUGUGAGGAAGCCCCGGCUAACUACGUGCCAGCAGCCGCGGUAAUACGUAGGGGGCUAGCGUUAUCCGGAUUUACUGGGCGUAAAGGGUGCGUAGGUGGUCUUUCAAGUCGGUGGUUAAAGGCUACGGCUCAACCGUAGUUAGCCUCCGAAACUGGAAGACUUGAGUGCAGGAGAGGAAAGUGGAAUUCCCAGUGUAGCGGUGAAAUGAGUAGAUAUUGGGAGGAACACCAGUAGCGAAGGCGGCUUUCUGGACUGCAACUGACACUGAGGCACGAAAGCGUGGGUAGCAAACAGG